GGCUCUUUGAGUGUUAUAAAGAGUCUGACCUGCCCUAUGAUAUCAAUUAAAUGGCCGCGGUACCCUGACCGUGCAAAGGUAGCAUAAUCACUUGCCUUUUAAUUGGAGGCUGGUAUGAAUGGUUUGACGGGGGGCUGACUGUCUCUGCUAAAUUUUGAGAAUUUAAUCUAUAGGCACAAAAGCCUAUAUUCAAUUAAAAGACGAGAAGACCCUAGCGAGCUUUAUUCUAGCAGUUAAAACACAGUUCCUGGGAGAUUUUGGUUGGGGCGACUGAGGAAAAAAAAGCAUCCUUGAUUAAAGGUAAAUCCAUGGUUACAGAUCCAACUAAUGUUGAGUGACAGGUGAGCUACCGUAGGGAUAACAGCGUAAUCUUUUUAGAGAGCUCUAAUCGAAAAAAGGGUUUGCGACCUCGAUGUUGGACUAGGGUAUCCUAAGGGUGCAGAAGCUUUUAAGGGUUGGUCUGUUCGACCACUAAGAUCCU
rnacentral:rRNA from 1 species